AAGCCCGCAAGGGUGAGUAAAGUGGCGCACGGGUGAGUAACACGUGGGUAAUCUACCUUUUAGUGGGGAAUAACACUGGGAAACCGGAGCUAAUACCGCAUAAGCCCGCAAGGGGAAAGCAGCAAUGCGCUGAAAGAGGAGCCCGCGGCCGAUUAGCUAGCUGGCAGGGUAAUGGCCUACCAGGGCUUUGAUCGGUAGCCGGCCUGAGAGGGCACACGGCCACACUGGCACUGAAACACGGGCCAGACUCCUACGGGGGGCAGCAGUGGGGAAUCUUGCACAAUGGGGGAAACCCUGAUGCAGCGACGCCGCGUGAGCGAUGAAGCCCUUCGGG
rnacentral:rRNA from 1 species